rnacentral:rRNA from 1 species
GUGAAAUUGUUGAAAGGGAAACGAUUGAAGUCAGUCAUACCAACGGGAAAUCAACCUUUUGAGCUUGGUCUCGUGGGUUUUGAAGAGUUUCAAAGCCUUCGGAUUCGCGGGAUUGGGAUCUCUCGGUGUACUUUUUCGUACGGUUAGUCAACAUCGGUUUUGAAUGUCAUAAAAUGACUGGAGGAAUGUAGCUUCGAUCUCGUAUUGAAGUGUUAUAGCCUUCGGUAGAUGUGGUGAUCGAGAUUGAGGAUUGCAACGGAUACCUUUCGGGGCUACCUGUCUGAUCUCUGAUCGUUGCUUUGGUGCUGAAAGCGUGCUUAUAGUUAUCAAAGUCGAUGGUUAAUAGGUUAGAAUGGGUUAAAUUCGUUAAGGAUGUUGACGUAAUGGCUUUAAACGAC